GAUGAACGCUGGCGGCGUGCCUAAUACAUGCAAGUCGAGCGAACAGACGAGGAGCUUGCUCCUCUGACGUUAGCGGCGGACGGGUGAGUAACACGUGGAUAACCUACCUAUAAGACUGGGAUAACUUCGGGAAACCGGAGCUAAUACCGGAUAAUAUAUUGAACCGCAUGGUUCAAUAGUGAAAGACGGUUUUGCUGUCACUUAUAGAUGGAUCCGCGCCGCAUUAGCUAGUUGGUAAGGUAACGGCUUACCAAGGCAACGAUGCGUAGCCGCACUGAGAGGGUGAGCGGCCACACUGGAACUGAGACACGGUCCAGACUCCUACGGGAGGCAGCAGUAGGGAAUCUUCCGCAAUGGGCGAAAGCCUGACGGAGCAACGCCGCGUGAGUGAUGAAGGUCUUCGGAUCGUAAAACUCUGUUAUUAGGGAAGAACAAAUGUGUAAGUAACUAUGCACGUCUUGACGGUACCUAAUCAGAAAGCCACGGCUAACUACGUGCCAGCCGCCGCGGUAA
rnacentral:rRNA from 1 species